UGCACUAAUAUGCGAGUGCGAGCGAGAUGUAUAGAAAGUAAAUUACGUUCUCGACGGCGUUUAUGUCAGUGACAAACUGAUGGUAACCGUACUGAUCGCAUAAUGAGAUUGAAAGGUUUUUGUCCUGACAUAUCUUUAUGCGUUCACCAUACAUAACUAUAUACACUUACAUUGGUAUACCUACAAACAAAUUGUGUUUGUUGAUUUAAUUUAUUAGUAUUUGAUAUUGGUCUUACAGGUAUCAUAGACGGUCGUAUCAUUAUUUGUGCUCAAAGUGUUCUAAAUUUAGCAGGUAUUUGUUUAUUAGUAAAUAAUAUUAAAAGUAGUAACCUGUUUUGAAUUACCUAUAUGUGUAGUCACGUCACAAAAUUAAUCGUCGAAGUAAAAGAUCCGUACAUUCUGUAUUUGAUUGGAAAUACAUGAAAAAAUGUGUAUACUUAUUUCUUUCGUGAUGGACUAAAUAUUUGUAUAAAAAAUUCAGUGUCCAUUUAGAAAAGGCACCUACAAUUUUAUUUAAUAUCUUGCACAACGAAGCGCCUAAAUAUAUUGUGUAAGAUAUUUUCGCGGUAUUCAUUUUGCAAGAUAUUAGGUAACAGUAUAAAAUAAAAUAUAAACAAACUACGUUGUUUACACUUCCACUUAAUUUUACUAAAUAAUAUUUUCACGUUUAGCAAUAAUCUAAUGUUUCUGUAUUUAAUCUUUCGACUUUGACGUCUAUGAAAAGUUAUUCAAAGUAAAGAAAGGACGCUUACCACGAGAAAUUGCGAACAUUGACCCGACUGUUCCUAUCUCUGUCGUACGCGAUUAAUUACAUUGCUGUCGUCCCGUCCAUGAUGCCGGCGGUCAAUUACAUUGUGCAAGCGCGACUGCAAUACUUGUGUUAAGCGUCCUUUUUUUCAAUAUGGUUUCACAAAAUUUUAUAAAUACCACUAAUACCAGCAAUAUAGAAAACUGUUCCAAACAAAUUGUUUCAGCUCAUUAUAUUUGAAUAUAAUAAGUUUUGUAUGUAAGCUAGCCAGAAUUCGACAAUAAUGCUAGUUUUUACAAAUAGUUGACAUAUAGUUUGUUUUUUUUUAGCAUUAGAAAGAACUUGCAAGAAGGUAAGCGAUCUUGACAUAUAUAUUUAAUUGAAAAGCGCUUUUUAAAAAUCAAUAACUAUUACUUAUGAAAGUAGAAGAAUAUAAAUGAUCGUAUUAGAUUCAGAUUCAUAAUUCAAAAAUGUGUUUUUCAUUUAAAAGAUACAUCAAGAGUUUACCUUAUUUCUAAUGCUAUAAAAACGAACUAUAAAUGUGACAUUUGGAACCUGAAACACCAGAACUUAAAGUUUGCAGUCUUCCAUCACUUUGUUUAGACAAUAAUAGCAUAUGACCAGCGUGUCGCAUACAGAAACAGAUUUCUUAUUCCAUAGACACGCAGAAUAGUUAGGCCAACUAAACGAAACGAGGUAAAUAAUGUAAAUAAUCUGACCAUUACCAGGCGUGGCUCACUCCGCGAUUUCGUCGCUUUGCUACAGGUAGCUAAAAAUACAUCUGUUCGACCCCAGUUUUGGGGUUUGCCAUAAGCCGCGCGUGGCGCUGUCGCCACCUAGCGGCCAUAUCUGUGCUGAUCGUGACAGACGCGUUUUGUUAGAGAGUGAGUCUUCUGUACCUAGUACUAUUAUUUAUUCUGUGCCAUUACUGAGUUACAUUGCUUGACGAAAGCUGUUGUUGCGUGUUUCGUACUACAGCCGACGUCAAAGAUAUGUUUACAAUUUUUGCCUUAUCACAAAGGGGUAAGGUGCAAAAAAGUGUAACCAUAUCUUUGACGUCGACUGUACCAUCGCCCACACAUCUGUACAUCGGUGGACCUUAUGCCUUCUGUAAUAAGAUCCAAGAUCCACCGAUGUACAUUUAGGAGUGUUGCUGUUUAUACAUACAAGGAAGAUGUCACAGAACUAACAGAUGAUAUCAACAUUUGAGCCGCUGCUUUGUGAACAAGCUGUCUCUGUUGACGUGAUGAUGUAGUGUUUAGUAGCUAUGGCUAACAUAUGUAUAUAGAUGGCGUUAUUCAUAAACGAAAACAGAAGAGGAAAGAUGCUUGGUCACCUGCUACGACACGACGAAUUUAUCAAAAAUAUCAUUGAAGGGAAAGUUGAGGCAACAAGACGGAGGGGGAGACCAAGGAGAACGUACAUAGAUCAAGUAAAGGAAAAGCUCAACGUCGUGUCGUAUCAGGCUGUCAAGGAGAAGGCAGAGGACCGACAUACAUGGAAAUCGCUCCACCGACAAGAGUCUAACUCUUAAAUGAAUGAUGAUGAUUCAUAAACGCAUUACAAAUUACUGAAUUAGGUGUAACUCGUUUGUCUUUAUCUGUCAUUUUAACUUAUGUAUUUAUCAGAAAGGGAUAAAACAUAAUUUAAGUAAUUCAGAGUCGUAAAGUUUUAUAAAUAAGGGGAAAAUUCGAAUCCCUAAAAGGUUGUUAACAUUAGUCAUCUCGUUUCGUUGGACUGCUAUAUACUAGCUUGCGUUAUUACUUACCAUCGUCGACACUUUUCACUGGCAAAGUAAACCUUAUUGCAAUGUCAUAAGGUCCACCGAUUAAGAGUGAUAUCGUUAGAAGCUCCACAUGUGUUCCAAUCCUCCGGUUAAUAAGUUUGUCGCUAGUUUGGUAGAGCAUUCACUGUUGUAACAUUACGGCUUCGGCUGUAGAAUGAACUACAUUCCGAGAUUAUCUCUGACUACAGUACCUAUGGCGUGUUUUAAAUAAACUGUGCACAGGUUGUUAACCGCCACAGACGUCAUCUGACGCGCGCGGCUACACUCCAAUAUCAACCUUCGUGCAUUCCGAUAAGGUUCAUGUUGACGCGUCACACAUGAUAGGACGACGCAUUUGACAUCAUGAAGUAACCGUUCAACAUACAACAAACUUUUUGCUUGUUGCCAUCAAUAAAAAUAUUUUGUAACUGAUAACACGUGACGUAAUGUUAAAACAGUGUUAGUAAUGUUAGUGCGUAUCAUGAUAGUUUGAUUAGGCAUUCGUUAGAUCGCUAGCAACCACAGGGCUGUGUUGUUAUUAGGUACUCGUAAUUAUGUUCUUUCGUAGCAUGUUGUAUAGAUUUUAUAACACGGACAUAAAGAUAUUCACAUUGUAAUUACACUUAAUAUAGCAAUAGUUACAUGACAUACAUAAUUACCUUCUCAAACUACCUGCCACAUAUAUACAUAUAUAUAUAUAUCAAUAAAUGAGUGGAAGUAGAUAGAUUUGUUACAUCUUUUGAAGUUAGGUCACGCUCGCUCGUUCCUAAUUCCCUAUACGAGUAAAUGCAUCUACAAUGGGAAUCUAGUACUGAAUAGAAAAAGUCGUACGCUCGAACUUAUUUAUUAGGAACUAUCUUUGAGUGUCUUAGCGCCCAAGUGUGUGAAUCGUGAGCCCUAUAAAUAUCGCUCAAUAAAUUACAUAUUUGUCCUCUAGCCGCCCAGUGUCCUAUAAAAAGUUCUCCCUUUUCAUACUACUUUGUAUUUUUAGUUUUAGAAAUCAAAAUUGCAUAUUUGUCUUAGCAAGUAGUAGACGGUAUGGCGGCAGUUUUAGUGAAAAUAUAUUCUGCAUAUUUACUCCUUGUAUUAGUGUAUAAAAUUGAACUACUGUGUAUAUUUACGGUAAAAUAUUUCCUCUUUCGAAAUACAUAAAUGUACUUACAAAUCUAUAUAUAUUUUUUAAAACCUAUGUUAUGAAAUUUAAGUAGACAUACCAAAAUCAUUGUUCAAGUAUUUCAAAUCACUUCGGAAAAAGCAUAUUCUACCGCAUACUACACUUUUUUCGUGUACAUAAUAGUCAUUUGGUAUUUUUGUAUGUAGUAAAGUAUAAAUAGCGUGGGCGAUGUAAGCAAAGUAGUUUUAUAUCGCGCGUAGUUUAGUUAAAUGUAACCGAUGUACAUACCAAUGAAUUCCGUGUUAAAUUUAUUUUAUUGUGACACCUAAAUUGUUGUAUGGACCGAGUCUUGAUAUUCUUAAUGGUUAUUCGUGAAAAUGUUAUAAAAAUCGAGACAGCGCUCAGUGUUCGCAUAUAAGUAAAUGAUAUGCUUCAAUAAAAUACAUGGUGAAGCCUCA